rnacentral:tRNA from 2 species
CACGUGUAGCUCAGUGGGUAGAGCAUCGGGUAUGUUGCCCGAAGGUCACAGGUUCGACUCCUGUCAUGUAACCA